rnacentral:rRNA from 1 species
ACUCCUACGGGAGGCAGCAGUGAGGAAUAUUGGACAAUGGGCGCAAGCCUGAUCCAGCCAUGCCGCGUGCAGGAUGACGGUCCUAUGGAUUGUAAACUGCUUUUGCACAGGAAGAAACAACAUUACGUGUAAUGUCUUGACGGUACUGUGAGAAUAAGGAUCGGCUAACUCCGUGCCAGCAGCCGCGGUAAUACGGGGGGACUCCUACGGGAGGCAGCAGCCAGCAGCCGCGGUAAU